rnacentral:misc_RNA from 1 species
GUUUAUAAUAAUGCAUUCCCAAAGAAUUGGUAUUAUUUGUAAAUUUGGUUAAAUUGGGUGGAUUAUUUUGGUCGUUAGUCUGAGCUAUUGUUGCACCAUUAGAUUGUCAUGUAUUAAUGUUAUUUUGUUGGUUUUUUUUACUAGUAGUUUUGAGUUUAUGGGAGAGCAUGUACUGUAAUAUAAUAAUCUAUUUGCUUAUUGUUUUUCUAAGAAGAAAUCUAUGUGCUGGUUUGAACAUGGAAAAAUAAAAGGCUUACAUCCACUGAAUUAGGCUUGUACACCAACUUUAUUCUCUUAACCUACAAGAUCAGAGCAUUUUAAUUGAAUCUUCCCCACUCAUUUGUUCUCUGUUAUUUCAUUUUUGGAUCAUUACAAUUUUUCUUGUAAUCCUGCUACCCACUUUGGCACUUUCAAUGGUAAUUUAUAUUGGAUUUCAGGUGUUAUAAGCAAUUUUCUUCCUCAAAACAAACCAUGCUUAUGUCCUACAGAGCUUGAGAGGAAAAUGGAGCUUGUUAUAUGUUGAAUUUGAACAUGAAUGCUCUCAAGGUUCUGGCCGUCAAAGUAGUUGCCUAGAUUUGAAACUCUUGAAACAGAAAGAUAGGAGAUGGAAUUGGAGAACCAAAGGAGCUGGGCAAAAAUACAAACCUGAAAGGUUGGGUAUAUUUUUUAAAUGGAGUCUCAAGAUUAAGAGAUAGAGGGAAUUGUGAAGCUAUGGAAAACUUUUAUGAAUCGAGUUACUGAUUUUGUGGGAAAUGGAUGAGAUUUUUGGGCAGGGGUGGUCAAGCAUGUCGACUAUUGAGUGUAUUUUUUCUAUGGGAAGCAAUAUGAAAGUGAAGGUGCCUAUAAAUAUAUAUUAGUAAAAAAAUGCCUUCUUUUCAUCAAACAUUGAGUAUUAUCUCUUUUUUUCUAAGAGAUUUGGCAUGGCAAGCAAAGCAUACAUGUAAUGGACAAGGAAUUUAAAAGCUGAAAAUUUUAUGAAAAGGGGGCCUUUUUCCCCCUUGAUGGAUAUUUUCUUGCAAGGCUCAAGCUGUCCUGAUGAGUCAUGCUUCUUCAUUAUCAAUGUGAGAGAUUUUUUGGUGUUUUGUUUGCUGUUGUACAUAAUUGUAUUAUUGGGGGAAAUAUUGGUGGAAUUGAAUUCUUGGGGAGGCUCUGCUUGUUGAUCUAUGCAUAGAGAAAUAUGAAACUCGAUAGACUAUUUGGAGAAAAUGGAAUUUGAGGACUUUUGAGCAUAUAGAAACAAUUUGGGCAUACUUGUAGAUUGUGGAGACUCUUAAAAUUGUAUUCCUAAUGUGCAUGGCUAAUGUCCCCUUCAUGUCUUUCUUAUUGUAGAUUUUGUUUACUUGUUGGAGGGGAAAACAAUGUCUGAUUCAUUUUAAACAAUGAAAGACCACAAGAUGCUUGCUUGUGUAGCUGGGUUCAGUCAUGCGGAGGGGAAGGCAUAUUAUCUACAAAAUUAAAGAAAAGGUGGUUGGAUUGGAUGAGUGCUGAUAAAAACUGCUAUAUGAUUAUGAAAUCCUUGCUAAGUUGAAGGAAAAUUCUAAGAAGUGUGAUUAGGCUUGCUUUGAUUUUUGAGUAGUGGAGUAGUAUGCCCCUAAAACAAGGAAAGAAGAGAUUAAGAUGCUAAGAUGGAUAUUAAGAAAUGUAAUGAAGGACUGAAUAAGGAAUGAGUGCCUCCAUAAGCAUGUAGAGCUGGCACUCAUUCAGGGUAAAUUGAGAGACAUGCUUGAGAUGGUUUUGGGUGUAUUGAGACUUGUGGAUGCAUAAACAUGGAAGAGUAAGAAAGUUCAAGUGGUAAGAACAAUAAAGAGAGUAGGUAGAUAAUGUGGGCUAUAGUGAAAAAAAAAAUGAUUUAGUAUCAAAGUUACUUAGAAAUUAAAUUGAACCCAAGUAUUUUGAGACUGAAUAUGAGAAUUUGAUGCUUUAAGUUUUGAAUCUUUGAUGAUACUAUCUAAUACCAUCUAAGGAAUGUUUCUUUUAAUAGGGAGGUUUGUUCUAUUAAUUUCUAAUGAAAAGCUCUUUGCAAGUUGAGAAUGUAGCUUUAUCAUGUAUGAUGAUUACAGAGCUUUGCAUUUACAUGUUUCCUUUUCAUGGCAUCUGCCUAUAAAGCAAAGGGUUUACAAUGUGCUAUUCAAUCUAGAAUAGUAAUAUGCAUAAACUCGGCCAUAGGAAAGAAAGUGAAUUUAAAAUAUGUCUUGUAUAGAUUUAUUUGUUAUUUUGCAUUCAUAUUAUCUCCUUUGGAAGCAGUCACUUUUUUACAGAAACAGUUUAAUGUAGUCCGUAACUUAUGCUUCACGCUUAGAGAAUGUGUAGAGAAAUU